AUUCUGUACUAUUGUCCUUCGCCUAAACCCGUCAGGAUCGGAAGGUAGCAGCGGUAAGUGUUAGGGCAAUGAGCUACAACCAAUG
rnacentral:SRP_RNA from 1 species